UACAGAGGUCUCAAGCGUUGUUCGGAUUCAUUGGGCGUAAAGGGUGCGUAGGUGGCGCCGUAAGUCGGGUGUGAAAUUUCGGAGCUUAACUCCGAAACUGCAUUCGAUACUGCGGUGCUUGAGGACUGGAGAGGAGACUGGAAUUCAUGGUGUAGCAGUGAAAUGCGUAGAGAUCAUGUGGAAGACCAGUGGCGAAGGCGGGCCUCUGGACAGUUCCUGACACUGAGGCACGAAGGCCAGGGGAGCAAACGGG
rnacentral:rRNA from 1 species